CUGAGACCUCUGAAACUGUAAGCCCCCAAAGAAACUAUUCCUCCUCUAAUUUUCUUGUCAGGUCUUUUGUUCACAGCAAAAAAAAAAAAAAAAAACUGACUAAAACAGGAAAUAAAUUAAAGUUACCAUAGUUGAUCCAAUAAAAGGGCCCUCAAGCCUACCCAAAAGACUCAGCAUAUUUACAAAGACAACAUUUGACCUUAAAUAAUGGUAGACAACAAGACUUAAAUGAUGCACUUGAGUGUGUCAACCAAUAAACAAUACCUCUGUCAGAGAGAACAACCUGGGGAGAGGCACGGCUACAUGAAAGCAGUAGUAUUUAUGGAAAUAAUGUGACCAAUAAUAAGGCAACAAAAAAAAAAUAAGUUCCAUACCAGAAACCAAAAUAAGUUCUCAUAAAGCUUCUACUAUCCACCUAAAUUGUCCAUAAAUACUCUGCCUCAUGGACUCAGUUGCUUUUGCUGCUUGAUCUCCUUUCCUUUGGAAAAGAGCUGGGAUGAAACUGGUUUCAGUAAAGUCAGUGGUCAGCUCCUGCCUGGCCCUUUGGCCCCUCCUCCUACCCCCUGAGUGAGCAUGUUCACUUGAGAGGCUUUGACAUCAAUACAUUUCACUUCCUAUAGAGCAGAGGGACCCCGCUCCAGUCUGCAUAGGAGGCUCUGCAGAACUCCAAAGUAGAGCUCUUUCCUCCCAGUGAUGCCUAAUGCUGAGCAAGUGGGAUUAGUCUCCUUGGGAACCAAGCCCCCCAGGGGCUCAAGGGCUGAACUGCCCCAAACCGUUUGGGAGAAUUGAGAUUUCAUAUUGUUCUUUU
rnacentral:lncRNA from 1 species